GAGUUUGAUCCUGGCUCAGGAUGAACGCUGGCGGCGUGCUUAACACAUGCAAGUCGAACGAACCUUCGGGUUAGUGGCGGACGGGUGAGUAACGCGUGAGAAUCUGCCCUCAGGAGGGGGAUAACAGCUGGAAACGGCUGCUAAUACCCCAUAUGCCGCGAGGUGAAAUGAAUUUCGCCUGAGGAUGAGCUCGCGUCUGAUUAGCUAGUUGGUGUAGGUAAAGGCUCACCAAGGCAUCGAUCAGUAGCUGGUCUGAGAGGAUGAUCAGCCACACUGGGACUGAGACCGGCCCAGACUCCUACGGGAGGCAGCAGUGGGGAAUUUUCCGCAAUGGGCGAAAGCCUGACGGAGCAACGCCGCGUGAGGGAUGAAGGCCUCUGGGCUGUAAACCUCUUUUAUCAAGGAAGAAGAUCUGACGGUACUUGAUGAAUAAGCCACGGCUAAUUCCGUGCCAGCAGCCGCGGUAAUACGGGAGUGGCAAGCGUUAUCCGGAAUUAUUGGGCGUAAAGCGUCCGCAGGCGGCCCUUCAAGUCUGCUGUUAAAAAGUGGAGCUUAACUCCAUCAUGGCAGUGGAAACUGUUGGGCUUGAGUGUGGUAGGGGCAGAGGGAAUUCCCGGUGUAGCGGUGAAAUGCGUAGAUAUCGGGAAGAACACCAGUGGCGAAGGCGCUCUGCUGGGCCAUCACUGACGCUCAUGGACGAAAGCCAGGGGAGCGAAAGGGAUUAGAUACCCCUGUAGUCCUGGCCGUAAACGAUGAACACUAGGUGUCGGGGGAAUCGACCCCCUCGGUGUCGUAGCCAACGCGUUAAGUGUUCCGCCUGGGGAGUACGCACGCAAGUGUGAAACUCAAAGGAAUUGACGGGGGCCCGCACAAGCGGUGGAGUAUGUGGUUUAAUUCGAUGCAACGCGAAGAACCUUACCAGGGUUUGACAUCCUGCGAAUCUCUUGGAAACGAGAGAGUGCCUUCGGGAGCGCAGUGACAGGUGGUGCAUGGCUGUCGUCAGCUCGUGUCGUGAGAUGUUGGGUUAAGUCCCGCAACGAGCGCAACCCACGUCUUUAGUUGCCAGCAUUUAGUUGGGCACUCUAGAGAGACCGCCGGUGAUAAACCGGAGGAAGGUGUGGGUGACGUCAAGUCAUCAUGCCCCUUACAUCCUGGGCUACACACGUACUACAAUGCUACGGACAAAGGGCAGCAAGUUCGCGAGGACAAGCAAAUCCCAUAAACCGUGGCUCAGUUCAGAUCGUAGGCUGCAACUCGCCUACGUGAAGGAGGAAUCGCUAGUAAUCGCAGGUCAGCAUACUGCGGUGAAUACGUUCCCGGGCCUUGUACACACCGCCCGUCACACCAUGGAAGUUGGCCACGCCCGAAGCCGUUACUCCAACCCUUGUGGAGGAGGACGUCGAAGGUGGGGCUGAUGACUGGGGUGAAGUCGUAA
rnacentral:rRNA from 1 species